UCCGUAGGCGGGUAAUUAAGUCAGAGGUGAAAUCCCACAGCUUAACUGUGGAACUGCCUUAGGUACUGGUUAUCUUGAGUUUUAGUGAAGUAGAUAGAAUGUGUAGUGUAGCGGUGAAAUGCAUAGAUAUUACACAGAAUACCGAUUGCGAAGGCAGUCUACUAACUAACAACUGACGCUAAUGGACGAAAGCGUGGGGAGCGAACAGGAUUAGAUACCCUGGUAGUCC
rnacentral:rRNA from 1 species